rnacentral:rRNA from 1 species
ACAUGCCUACACAAUAGCGUUAAUGCAUCGGAUCCCAUUAGAAAUCUACAGUUAAGUGUGCUCAGGCUAGAGUAGUAUUGGGAUGGGUGACCUCUCGGGAAGUCUUAAUGUUUUACAUGCC